rnacentral:rRNA from 1 species
AUUGAACGCUGGCGGCAUGCCUUACACAUGCGAGUCGAACGGUAACAGGUUAAGCUGACGAGUGGCGAACGGGUGAGUAAUGUAUCGGAACGUGCCCAGUCGUGGGGGAUAACUGCUCGAAAGAGCAGCUAAUACCGCAUACGACCUGAGGGUGAAAGCGGGGGAUCGCAAGACCUCGCGCGAUUGGAGCGGCCGAUAUCAGAUUAGGUAGUUGGUGAGGUAAAGGCUCACCAAGCCGACGAUCUGUAGCUGGUCUGAGAGGACGACCAGCCACACUGGGACUGAGAAACGGCCCAGACUCCUACGGGAGGCAGCAGUGGGGAAUUUUGGACAAUGGGCGCAAGCCUGAUCCAGCCAUGCCGCGUGCGGGAAGAAGGCCUUCGGGUUGUAAACCGCUUUUGUCAGGGAAGAAAAGGUUCUGGCUAAUACCUGGGACUCAUGACGGUACCUGAAGAAUAAGCACCGGCUAACUACGUG